UUCCUACGGGGCGCAGCAGUGGGAAUAUUGCACAAUGGGGGAAACCCUGAUGCAGCGACGCCGCGUGAAGGAUGAAGUAUUUCGGUAUGUAAACUUCUAUCAGCAGGGAAGAAAAUGACGGUACCUGACUAAGAAGCCCCGGCUAACUACGUGCCAGCAGCCGCGGUAAUACGUAGGGGGCAAGCGUUAUCCGGAUUUACUGGGUGUAAAGGGAGCGUAGACGGCAUGGCAAGUCUGAAGUGAAAGCCCGGGGCUCAACCCCGGGACUGCUUUGGAAACUGUAUGGCUGGAGUGCUGGAGAGGCA
rnacentral:rRNA from 1 species